CCUACGGGUGGCUGCAGUGAGGAAUAUUGGUCAAUGGGCGGGAGCCUGAACCAGCCAAGUCGCGUGAGGGAAGACGGUCCUAUGGAUUGUAAACCUCUUUAGGCGGGGAGCAAUGCCGGUCACGCGUGCCCGGCGGGAGAGUACCCGCAGAAUAAGCAUCGGCUAACUCCGUGCCAGCAGCCGCGGUAUUACGGGGGAUGCGAGCGUUAUCCGGAUGUAUUGGGUUUAAAGGGUGCGUAGGGGGAUUUUUAAGUCAGCGGUAAAAGGUUCGGGAUCACACCGGGCCGGCCGUUGAAACUGGUGAUCUUGAGAGGGAGAGAGGUAUGCGGAAUGCGGGGUGUAGCGGUGAAAUGCGUAGAUA
rnacentral:rRNA from 1 species